UUCCGAUCUAGUGAUAAGAUCCGUAGUCAAAAGGGAAACAGCCCAGACCGCCAGCUAAGGUCCCAAAGUGUGUAUUAAGUGGAAAAGGAUGUGGAGUUGCUUAGACAACUAGGAUGUUGGCUUAGAAGCAGCCACCAUUUAAAGAGUGCGUAAUAGCUCACUAGUCGAGUGACUCUGCGCCGAAAAUGUACCGGGGCUAAAUACACCACCGAAGCUGCGGAUUGAUACCGAAUGGUAUCAGUGGUAGGGGAGCGUUCUAAGGACAGUGAAGUCAGACCGGAAGGACUGGUGGAGUGCUUAGAAGUGAGAAUGCCGGUAUGAGUAGCGAAAGACGGGUGAGAAUCCCGUCCACCGAAUGCCUAAGGUUUCCUGAGGAAGGCUCGUCCGCUCAGGGUUAGUCAGGACCUAAGCCGAGGCCGACAGGCGUAGGCGAUGGACAACAGGUUGAUAUUCCUGUACCACCUCUUUAUCGUUUGAGCAAUGGAGGGACGCAGAAGGAUAGAAGAAGCGUGCGAUUGGUUGUGCACGUCCAAGCAGUUAGGCUGAUAAGUAGGCAAAUCCGCUUAUCGUAAAGGCUGAGCUGUGAUGGGGAAGCUCCUUAUGGAGCGAAGUCUUUGAUUCCCCGCUGCCAAGAAAAGCUUCUAGCGAGAUAAAAGGUGCCUGUACCGCAAACCGACACAGGUAGGCGAGGAGAGAAUCCUAAGGUGUGCGAGAGAACUCUGGUUAAGGAACUCGGCAAAAUGACCCCGUAACUUCGGGAGAAGGGGUGCUUUCUUAACGGAAAGCCGCAGUGAAUAGGCCCAAGCGACUGUUUAGCAAAAACACAGCUCUCUGCGAAGCCGUAAGGCGAAGUAUAGGGGGUGACACCUGCCCGGUGCUGGAAGGUUAAGGAGAGGGGUUAGCGUAAGCGAAGCUCUGAACUGAAGCCCCAGUAAACGGCGGCCGUAACUAUAACGGUCCUAAGGUAGCGAAAUUCCUUGUCGGGUAAGUUCCGACCCGCACGAAAGGUGUAACGAUUUGGGCACUGUCUCAACCAGAGACUCGGUGAAAUUAUAGUACCUGUGAAGAUGCAGGUUACCCGCGACAGGACGGAAAGACCCCGUGGAGCUUUACUGUAGCCUGAUAUUGAAUUUUGGUACAGUUUGUACAGGAUAGGCGGGAGCCUUUGAAACCGGAGCGCUAGCUUCGGUGGAGGCGCUGGUGGGAUACCGCCCUGACUGUAUUGAAAUUCUAACCUACGGGUCUUAUUGACCCGGGAGACAGUGUCAGGUGGGCAGUUUGACUGGGG
rnacentral:rRNA from 1 species